AUCUGACUGGCUCAGUUGUUAGAGCAUGUGACUCUUGGUCUUGAGGUGGUGAGUUCAAACCUCAUGUUGGAUA
rnacentral:tRNA from 1 species